rnacentral:lncRNA from 1 species
GGUUGUGUAGUACAUACAGUUCUUCAGUACAUAAACAUCAAGCUUUGAAGGGGUUAAACAUGUCAAAGCAUGACAAUCCACUCUCUUGCCACAGGAUUGUGAGGUUUAAACAGUAAAUACCUCAACAUUAGAGAACAUUGAUGUCUUUAAAUAAGCUUUUGAGUUUUCCUUGCAGGUUAUAUCUCAGCUGGCAAAAAUGAGACAGUGUGAAGAACAGAAACCAAUGCCAUGAGCAGCCCCAGAUGAAUCCUGUGAUGGCUCAUCUGUGAGCAGAAAGGUGAAAGUUACUCUCUUGAGCCCCGCAAAUACAAGGCUGGCCCCAGUCCUUCCUGAUAAGCAUCAAAUGGCAACAACUAGCUACAAGAAAUUCCUCCAGCAACAGAAUAAGUAUUGGCACGACAAGAAGUAAUCUACUGAUGGGAAUAGAGGCACUGAAAAUCAUCCCCUGACUAGUCAAAUUCACCUGCAAAUCCUCAUCCUGACACAACCAGGAAGAUGUCAAAGUAAGUAUAUUUCCAGUCAAUAUAAAAACAAUUCUCCAUGGGAUUUGCCUCCUUUUAGCAGUUUGUGCUUUAACAAGUGUUGCCCCAGCAUUGUUCUUGCUGCACAUUUUUACUCUGGUGCUAGAGUUGAUUUAACCAAGAGAGUCACUGGGUGUUUGCUGAUUGGUCAGUGGAAUGGUUCGUAUAGUCCUACCCCAAGAUUGACUGGAGAAACUGUUUUGCAGAGGCUAUUGUCCCCUGUCUGGUAGCAAUACAUGACUGUUUCCCUAUGAAACAAAGCAUUGCAGUGUAGCAAAAAGAGAGAGUAGAAGUUAAGCCAAGGAGGAAGAAGUGGGAUGGAUGGGGAGUUUGGGGUUCAUAGAAGCAAACUAUUAUAUUUAGAACGGAUAGGCAGUGAGGUCCUACUGUACAGCACAGUCUCUUGGACUCGAAUGGGAUGGAAGACAGUAUGAGAAAAGAAUGUGUGUGUGUGUCUGUGUCUGUGUGUGUGUGUGUAUGUGGUGUGUGUGUAUGUGACAGGGUAACUAUGCUGUAAAGCAAAAAUUGACAUAACACUAUAAAUCAACUGUACUUUAAUAAAUUUUUUUUAAAUGUAAGUAAAUCCCAGGCCUAGGCCCAGCAUUUUCACUGUAUUGUGUGGAAACUAAUUUUGCUUUGCAAGACUCACAGACAGUUAUGUGGAUAGAAUAUGUACAUCAGGGGGAACUGCUUUCAAGAUUAUAGUUAUGUGAAAAUGGGUGUUGUUAUUAGUAUGCUGCCUUAUGAGAGCUAGUUUGUGAGAUUGUUAUAGCUCUUUGUCUUUGAGACAGACCUGUAUCACUUUGACGGCUUUGCAUUCAUGAAGCCAUAUGGGCAGAGAGCAUGAUAGUCCUUUCACAGCAGAUUCAGUGAUGCUUCUCAUUCUUGAGUACUGAAACUUUUUAGCCAUUUCCCCUUCCUUUGUAGGAAGGACUCUCUGUAUUCUUGGACAGAUGUUAUUUUUGCCAUCAAAAUGAUGACAAAAAUAACAUAAUACCACAAAACUAGCUUAGCAUUUGCCUCUGACAACAAUGAAACAUGAACCACCCCUAUCUUUUCUUUGAAAUCAUAACUAUUGCUUGGGCAGAUAGUUUAAUGUUUUGGCCAAAACAAAAGUAACAUCUGUGCCUCCCUAUCUUAUACUAAAUCCAACUGAUUUAUAAUAAGCAUUUAAAUAUAAUCUUCUAAAUAUUGUUUUAUUGGCUGUGGAUACAUAUUGCUCUUAUUUCCAUGCCUUAUGGACCUUGUGUCAUUUAAUAUCCAUAAAUCCUGGUCUACAUUUAAAUUAAAUCACCACCCAGCAAGUAAGGGAUAGAGCUGGGAUAGAUACCCAGACCCAUAAUUUUCCUAGUGUGCCAUCAGCUCCUUGAUAAAAAUGCUUGUUAGGAGUUCCCAUCGUGGCUCAGUGGUCAACAAACCCAACUAGUAUCCAUAAGGAUGCGGGUUCGAUCCCUGGCCUUGCUCAGGGGCUUAACAAUCCGGUGUUGCCGUGAGCUAUACUCUAGGCUGGCAGCUACAGCUCCAAUUCGACCCCUAGCCUGGGAAUCUCCAUAUGCUGUGGAUGAUGCCCUAAAAAGGGAAAAGACAAAAAAAAAUUGCUUGUUAGAAUUAUAUGAAUGCGACCCUAUCUGGUGGUAGUGGUAGGGCCUUCUUCCUAUCACAUGUCAUUAUGAAUCAUAUUCUAUUAUACGGUGAGGAUUGGUCACGUACAGUGAUGAAAUGGCUUAAUUCAUGUCCUUUAUGCUCAGAAUAUUAUUUUGUUACUAACCAGAUAGUAACAAAAUAGGGAUCCAUGUUUUCAGUAAGUUAUAUGUAGGCAGACUAAAUAGAACACAUGCCAGCAGUAGACUGAGAUUCAGGAACAGCUGUUCUCUAGUCCUAGGCAUCCAUAAGAACCCACAAAGAUGCCUUUUAAAAAGCAAUUUGCCAGAAAUGAACUGUUAAGAAUAGAAAGCCAACUGGGAUAACUCAAGGUUUAGUGUGGAGUACUACAUGGCAUAAUCAUACUAUAAAGUUCAUUGAUCACAAAAAACACAAAUCCCUCCAACAAAAAUUAAAAGAAACACUAACCAACUUUCAAUUCAUUAUGAAACUAGAAAAUUUUACUCAGCAUGUUUUAAGUACUCUGUCCUCCUUGCAGUUUUGAAGCACAGCUUUUUUUUAUUCCCCCUCCCUCCCUCCUCACCCCACCCCCAUGAGCUUCUUCCUUCUACACAGGAUCUUACAAUGCAAUCCACCCAGUUUGCAUCAAAGUCAGAGAUAUAUCCAUGGAUUCAGGAAAUGUUUCUUUCCUUUCUUCAUUUUUAAUAUCAGUGGAUAUAUUGCAAAUAAGAACUCAGCUUGCUGGAAUACCCAAGAAGUUUUAUUAGCAGAAACAUGUUUUGUUCAUGAAAUUCUUUUUGGAUAUACAUAACUACCUGCUGCACAUCAAUAAAUUCAUGGGCAAUAAACUUUGUCUGUAGUUAAAAUUUAGUUACAUCAAAAAUAGGGAAAUCAGGUAAGCAUUCAUGAUAUUCAAGGGGUAAAUCCAUGUUUCCACUUGAUGGCACCUUAUGCUGGCAUCAUCUACCCUUCCUGAAUUAUCCGUAUGGAGAAUCACACUGGCUUUGCCUAUACUGUCUGGAAAUUGUCAGUUUUUCUGUAAUCUACUCCUUCUGUAAUUUCCUUUUCUUUACUCUGCUGUGAAAAUUAACUCCUGCAGCUAAGCACUCUGAGUCAAGUAUUUUUUUCUUCUCAUAAGAUGUACAUAAAUCUAGGCUUGCAUUUAGUGUGAUCUCCUUCAUAUUAAACACCAUUACACCAGAACCAACAGAGAACAAAGUAGAGAAAAUCAACAUUUAAUAUUAACUGAGCAUUUUAGGAAGUUGUCCUGAAUAGCCAGUAGAGGUCUCUGCCGCACUAUAUAAAUGUCCUUUAAGGGCAAAGCAAAAUGCCUUUGAAUAUGCAUAUAUACAUGGAGAGAGAGAAGAGAAAAGAAAAAGAAAAAGCCUUGAAAAGAAGUGCAUGGGCCAAGUUUUAGUGUGGUCACCUGGAAUAUAUGAGAAGAGGAAAGUGUAUUUUGUUAACGGCGGGAAGAGAAGAUUAAAAGUAAAUGAAGAGGUCAUGCCAGAUUUAGAGGGGGAAUGGCAGGGUCUGAUAAAAGAAGUACCUGUAAGAUGAGGUAGGAACAUGAAGCAGAUUUUAUGGGAGGAUUUAAGUCAGGCUUGGAGUAAGGAAUAUCCUUAAUUCAAGGAAGCCCAGCUAGGAUUGCAGCAGAGCGAGGGAUCAAAGGUGAGCAUAUACAAUAUCAAAUUAGCCAGUGAGUCAGCUGUGGCAAUGCCAGGUGCAUGGCCUGUAACUCUCCAGCUACCAUGUGGUUCAGCUAUAGUAAUUCUGUCCCAGGAAAAGCAUCAUGAAACUUGCAGCACAACUAUUCUGAGGGAACUGGGGUAUCAAAAUACAUCAAAGCAGGAAUUAGUCACACAGGAACAAAUCAAGGCUUAGGGCAUAUGUCCCUUGUUCUAUAAGGUUAGAAUAUUGUUAUGAAAAGAAAAUCAGAGUUAUUUAUUAGAAUUGGGUAAGAAAUAGACUC